GUUGAAAUACCUGUUCCCAUACAAUCACAAAAGUUAAACAACAUCGAACCUGGUCAGUACCUAGAUAGGUGACCACUUGGAAAUGCGAGGUGCUGUCA